UCAAUUCAAGCGUUUAAUAAGAGCAUUUGGUGAAUGCCUUGGCGUAUGAAGGCGAUGAAGGACGUGAUAGGCUGCGUUAAGCUGCGGUUAGCUGCCAAUAAGCAUUGAUCCGCGGAUUUCCGAAUGGGGAAACCCACCACAUUAGUGGUAUCCUUAACUGAAUACAUAGGUUAAGGAAGCAAACCCGGGGAAGUGAAACAUCUCAGUACCCGGAGGAAAGGACAUCAACCGAGACUCCCUUAGUAGCGGCGAGCGAACGGGGACCAGGCCAGUGGUCCUACGAUAAGAACUAGAAUAGUCUGGAAAGACUAGCCAAAGUGGGUGAUAGCCCCGUAUAGGUAGAAAGUCGUAGGAUCCUCGAGUAGGGCGGGACACGUGAAAUCCUGUCUGAACAUGGGGGGACCAUCCUCCAAGCCUAAGUACUCUCAUACGACCGAUAGUGAACAAGUACCGUGAGGGAAAGGUGAAAAGAACCCCGAUAAGGGGAGUGAAACAGACCUGAAACCGAAUGCUUACAAGCAGUGGGAGCCCCCUUGAGGGGUGACCGCGUACCUUUUGUAUAAUGGGUCAGCGACUUAGUCUAUGUAGCAAGCUUAAGCCGAUAGGUGGAGGCGUAGCGAAAGCGAGUCUUAAUAGGGCGAAUAAGUUACAUGGAUUAGACCCGAAACCCGGUGAUCUAGUUAUGGGCAGGUUGAAGGUAAGGUAACACUUACUGGAGGACCGAACACGUAUCUGUUGAAAUAGAUUGUGAUGACCUGUGAUUAGGGGUGAAAGGCCAAUCAAACCGGGUAAUAGCUGGUUCUCCGCGAAAUCUAUUUAGGUAGAGCGUCGUGUGAUUACCUACGGGGGUAGAGCACUGGAUGGUUGCGGGGGGCGCGAGCCUUACCAAUACUAACCAAACUCCGAAUACCGUAGAGUACAGCACGGCAGACAGACUGUGGGUGAUAAGGUCCAUGGUCGAAAGGGAAACAGCCCAGACCGCCAGCUAAGGUCCCUAAAUCAUUGCUAAGUGUAAAAGGAAGUGAAAAGUCCAAGACAAUCAGGAGGUUGGCUUAGAAGCAGCCACCCUUUAAAGAAAGCGUAAUAGCUCACUGAUCUAAAUAUUAAGACUUCUUGCGCCGAAGAUGUACCGGGGCUCAAGCAAUGUACCGAAGCUGCGGAUUCCAUAGUUUACUAUGGUCUGGUAGCGGAGCGUUCCGUAAGCCUGUGAAGGGUAACCGCGAGGUUGCCUGGAGGUAUCGGAAGUGAGAAUGCUGACAUGAGUAGCGAUAAAAAGAGUGAGAAACUCUUUCGCCGAAAGUCCAAGGGUUCCUGCGCAAGGCUAAUCCGCGCAGGGUAAGCCGGCCCCUAAGGCGAGGCCGAAAGGCGUAGUCGAUGGGAACUAGGUUAAUAUUCCUAGGCCAGAUGGAGAGUGACGAAGGCUGUAAGUAGUAUUUCCUUAUUGGAUUGGAGAUGCUGCGAAGGACUUCCAGGAAAUAGCCCCAUCAUUAAGACCGUACCCCAAACCGACACAGGUGGACAGGUAGAGUAUACCAAGGCGCUUGAGAGAACUAUGCUGAAGGAACUCGGCAAAUUACCUCCGUAACUUCGGGAGAAGGAGGCCCAGCUAGAAGGCAACUUUUAGUUGGGGGCACAGACCAGGGGGUAGCGACUGUUUAUCAAAAACACAGGACUCUGCUAAGACGAAUAAGUCGAUGUAUAGGGUCUGACGCCUGCCCGGUGCCGGAAGGUUAAGAGGAGAGGUGCAAGCCUUGAAUUGAAGCCCCGGUAAACGGCGGCCGUAACUAUAACGGUCCUAAGGUAGCGAAAUUCCUUGUCGGGUAAGUUCCGACCUGCACGAAUGGCGUAACGACUUCCCCGCUGUCUCCAGCAUAGACUCAGCGAAAUUGAAUUCUCAGUUAAGAUGCUGAGUUCCCAUGGUUAGACGGAAAGACCCCGUGCACCUUUACUACAGCUUUACAGUGGCAUUAGAUUUGACUUGUGUAGGAUAGGCGGGAGGCUUUGAAGCAUGGACGCCAGUUCGUGUGGAGCCACCCUUGAAAUACCGCCCUUGUUAAGUCUGAUGUCUAACCGAGGUCCGUGAAACCGGAUCCGGGACCCUGUAUGGUGGGUAGUUUGACUGGGGUGGUCGCCUCCCAAAGAGUAACGGAGGCGCACAAAGGUUGGCUCAAGUUGGUCGGAAAUCAACUGUAGAGUGUAAUGGCAUAAGCCAGCCUGACUGCGAGACUGACAAGUCGAGCAGAGACGAAAGUCGGUCAUAGUGAUCCGGUGGUCCCGCAUGGAAGGGCCAUCGCUCAACGGAUAAAAGGUACGCCGGGGAUAACAGGCUGAUACCGCCCAAGCGUCCACAGCGACGGCGGUGUUUGGCACCUCGAUGUCGGCUCAUCUCAUCCUGGGGCUGGAGCAGGUCCCAAGGGUAUGGCUGUUCGCCAUUUAAAGAGGUACGUGAGCUGGGUUCAGAACGUCGUGAGACAGUUCGGUCCCUAUCUGCCAUGGGUGUUGGAAUACUGAGGAGAGCUGCCCCUAGUACGAGAGGACCGGGGUGGACGUACCACUGGUGUACCAGUUGUUCCGCCAGGAGCACCGCUGGGUAGCUAAGUACGGACAGGAUAACCGCUGAAAGCAUCUAAGCGGGAAGCCCCCUUCAAAACAAGUAUUCCCUAUCAGAGUCGUGGAAGACUACCACGUUGAUAGGCCAGGUGUGGAAGUAUGGUAACAUAUGAAGCUAACUGGUACUAAUAUCUCGAUUGGCUUGAAUUGACCGCGC
rnacentral:rRNA from 1 species